UACGUAGGUGGCAAGCGUUGUCCGGAAUUAUUGGGCGUAAAGCGCGUGUAGGCGGUUAUUCAAGUCGGGUGUGAAAGCCUUGAGCUCAACUCAAGAAAUGCACUCGGUACUGGGUGACUAGAGGACCGGAGAGGAUAGUGGAAUUCCCAGUGUAGUGGUGAAAUACGUAGAGAUUGGGAAGAACACCAGUGGCGAAGGCGGCUAUCUGGACGGUUUCUGACGCUAAGACGCGAAAGCGUGGGGAGCAAACAGG
rnacentral:rRNA from 1 species